AACGAACGCUGGCGGCAUGCCUAACACAUGCAAGUCGAACGAGACCUUCGGGUCUAGUGGCGCACGGGUGCGUAACGCGUGGGAACCUGCCCUUAGGUUCGGAAUAACUCCCCGAAAGGGGUGCUAAUACCGGAUAAUGUCUUCGGGCCAAAGAUUUAUCGCCUUUGGAUGGGCCCGCGUUGGAUUAGCUAGUUGGUAGGGUAAAAGCCUACCAAGGCGACGAUCCAUAGCUGGUCUGAGAGGAUGAUCAGCCACACUGGGACUGAGACACGGCCCAGACUCCUACGGGAGGCAGCAGUGGGGAAUAUUGGACAAUGGGCGAAAGCCUGAUACAGCAAUGCCGCGUGAGUGAUGAAGGCCUUAGGGUUGUAAAGCUCUUUUACCCGGGAUGAUAAUGACAGUACCGGGAGAAUAAGCUCCGGCUAACUCCGUG
rnacentral:rRNA from 1 species